rnacentral:rRNA from 1 species
GAUGAACGCUGGCGGCGUGCCUAAUACAUGCAAGUCGAGCGAACAGACGAGGAGCUUGCUCCUCUGACGUUAGCGGCGGACGGGUGAGUAACACGUGGAUAACCUACCUAUAAGACUGGGAUAACUUCGGGAAACCGGAGCUAAUACCGGAUAACAUGUUGAACCGCAUGGUUUAACAGUGAAAGACGGUCUUGCUGUCACUUAUAGAUGGAUCCGCGCCGCAUUAGCUAGUUGGUAAGGUAACGGCUUACCAAGGCAACGAUGCGUAGCCGACCUGAGAGGGUGAUCGGCCACACUGGAACUGAGACACGGUCCAGACUCCUACGGGAGGCAGCAGUAGGGAAUCUUCCGCAAUGGGCGAAAGCCUGACGGAGCAACGCCGCGUGAGUGAAGAGGGUCUUCGGAUCGUAAAACUCUGUUAUUAGGGAAGAACAAAUGUGUAAGUAACUAUGCACGUCUUGACGGUACCUAAUCAGAAAGCCACGGCUAACUACGUG